UACGGAAGGCAGCAGUGGGGAAUAUUGCACAAUGGGCGCAAGCCUGAUGCAGCCAUGCCGCGUGUAUGAAAAAGGCCUUCGGGUUGUAAAGUACUUUCAGUCGUGAGGAAGGUGUUAAGGUUAAUAACCUUAGCAAUUGACGUUAGCGACAGAAGAAGCACCGGCUAACUCCGUGCCAGCAGCCGCGGUAAUACGGAGGGUGCGAGCGUUAAUCGGAAUUACUGGGCGUAAAGGGCACGCAGGCGGCUAAUUAAGUUGGAUGUGAAAUCCCCGGGCUUAACCUGGGAAUGGCAUUCAAGACUGGUUAGCUAGAGUCUUGUAGAGGGGGUUAGAAUUCCAUGUGUAGCGGUGAAAUGCGUAGAGAUGUGGAGGAAUACCGGUGGCGAAGGCGGCCCCUGGACAAAGACUGACGCUCAUGUGCGAAAGCGUGGGGAGCAAAC
rnacentral:rRNA from 1 species